rnacentral:rRNA from 1 species
GACGAACGCUGGCGGCGUGCUUAACACAUGCAAGUCGAACGGAAAGGCCCUGCUUUUGUGGGGUGCUCGAGUGGCGAACGGGUGAGUAACACGUGAGUAACCUGCCCUUGACUUUGGGAUAACUUCAGGAAACUGGGGCUAAUACCGGAUAGGAGCUCCUGCUGCAUGGUGGGGGUUGGAAAGUUUCGGCGGUGGGGGAUGGACUCGCGGCUUAUCUGCUUGUUGGUGGGGGAGUGGCUUACCAAGGCUUUGACGGGUAGCCGGCCUGAGAGGGUGACCGGCCACAUUGGGACUGAGAUACGGCCCAGACUCCUACGGGAGGCAGCAGUGUGGAAUAUUGCACGAUGGGCGGAAGCCUGAUGCAGCAUCGCCGCGUGCUGGAUGACGGCCUUCGGUUUUUAAACCGUUUUCGCCUGUGACGAAGCGUGAGUGACGGUAAUGUGUAAAUAAGCACCGGCUAACUACGUG